GUUAGGGUGGGCAAGCGUUGUCCCGGAAAUUAUUGGGCGUAAAGCGCGCGCAGGGCGGUCCUUUAAGUCUGAUGUGAAAAGCCCACGGCUCAAACCGUGGAGGGUCAUUGGAAACUGGGGGACUUGAGUACAGAAGAGGAAAGCGGAAUUCCAAGUGUAGCGGUGAAAUGCGUAGAGAUUUGGAGGAACACCAGUGGCGAAGGCGGCUUUCUGGUCUGUAACUGACGCUGAGGCGCGAAAGCGUGGGGAGCAAACAGGAUUAGAUACCCUGGUAGUCCACGCCGUAAACGAUGAGUGCUAAGUGUUAGGGGGUUUCCGCCCCUUAGUGCUGCAGCUAACGCAUUAAGCACUCCGCCGUGGGGAGUACGGCCGCAAGGCUG
rnacentral:rRNA from 1 species